rnacentral:lncRNA from 1 species
UGGCAUCCCGCCAGUAUCCUCUCAUGAGGAAGAAUCAAUUUGCAAGGUAUUGAAUAAACCCUUGGGCUCUGCCUUGGAGAGGUGACCACCCAUGAAACCAACUGACAUGAAAGCACCACAAGAUAAGCUGUCAUCUUAAUAAAUCUGAGAGGGUAUGAAGGCAGAGAGUGUCUGUGGAGGUGUUUCCAGUGUGGCUAUGGAGACACACAGCUCCCAUUCAUCAGGACUGUUCUUUGCAUCUGUCUGACCUGACCUGCUGGCAGAAUGCGUCUGUUGCAUUUCUUGUCCUGCAGUGUUAAACUUGGUGCUAUGCCAUGUGAUCAUGCUGAUGUCUGACGGCACUCCUGGAUCAGCAGCUCUUGCUACAUUUCUCUGCAAGUACAAAACUUCAACUAAUGGGCAUUAGCAACUCAUGGACAGACUCCACCUCACGUGCUUUUGAGAACAUGCUUAAGAAUCAUGCUGGCCCUGUGAUGGGCCUUCAUAGAACUUCGAGGAGCUGGUGUGACUUGGAGGGCAGCUGUUCUGGUGCUGUUCUGCUGUAUGAGAAAUCCUGUUUGGUGAGAAGAUGUCAGAGCUGCCCUUGGCAUGAAGCUGCUGGGUGUCCAGGUAGGAGCAACACUGUGUGUGUUUGGGGGUCUGUGUGCAGUUCAGGUACAGCGUACAAAUCAAUUUUUGCAAAAGUGGAAAUCUGCAUCUUUUUCCAUAACGCUACGUUAUCAAGAAGAUGAUGGCAAAUAUUAAUGUUUCCGUUCUAUAGAUAUGGCUAUUGAAGCACUUCCCACAUAGCCUAUCUUUGUUAGGGCUUUCAAAGCUUUUUGAGCUUGAAGAGCAAAAACUUAAAUGAACAAUGACUUUUCUUUUGCCUAGUUUGCGUGGAAUGUUGUGUAUUAAAAUUUCC